CCAGCCUUCUCAAUAUUAAAAGAGUCAAAUUUUAAGCGGGGUCUUUUUGACCUCAAACGAACUUGGAUAUUUCCCAGAGGGUCCCCAGAAAAUGUCAAGGGAUUUGCUUCUUAUAGGUAAAGAAGGCUCAACCUGACAUCUGGUCCUGUGCAAAAACAUGGAGACCUCAAAAUCACACAGAAUUUAGAGCUGAUAACCACCACACAGAUGAUCACCUUAAGACUAGAACUUCAGACAAGGAUUGAAGAGAAUGACCAACUUCAGGAAUGUGAACCUGACCCUGUGACCUGUGAAUGCCACAGAGAUUCAGCAAAACACUGGGAAAGGCCACAUGAAGACACAGCAAGAAAAGAGAUCUCACC